UGUUUCAGAACCUAGAGAGAUCCAUUGUUCUCUCUCUCUCUCUCUCUCUCUCUCUCUCUCUCUCUCUCUCUCUCUCUCUCUCUCUCUCUCCUAGACAGAGUACAGAGUUUCUUAGUGUAGCCUUGGUUGUCCUGGAACUCCCUCUGUAGACUAGGUUGGCCUCAAACUCACAUAGAUUUGCUGGCCUCUGCCUGAGGAUUAAAGUCCUGUACUACCACCUCCAGCCUAAUCCAAGGUUGAAGAUCAACCCAGUGGAGCGACAGAAAUGAAGACAUCAGACACUGAGCAAAAAGUGCAAAAGCUAGAAGGACUCUUGUACGUUGACAGCAGCCUGCUCAUUUCCUGAUGCAGACUAAGCACUUCUCAAGAUUCAGUUCAGGAAGGAUUGAUUGAAAGGCUACUCUGGGUAACAAACUCUCCAAAGCCUUAAAUCUUUUAAACCAAUAGCAAAAGACAGAUGUUUACUACUAACUGUGCUACAGGAACAAAAAAAAAAAUGGAUGAAAGGUGGCUUUAAAAAAAAAAAAAAGGAAA